CCUACGGGAGGCAGCAGUGUGGAAUAUUGGUCAAUGGACGAGAGUCUGAACCAGCCAAGUAGCGUGAAGGAUGACUGCCCUAUGGGUUGUAAACUUCUUUUAUAUGGGAAUAAAAUGUUCCACGUGUGGGAUUUUGUAUGUACCAUAUGAAUAAGGAUCGGCUAACUCCGUGCCAGCAGCCGCGGUAAUACGGAGGAUCCGAGCGUUAUCCGGAUUUAUUGGGUUUAAAGGGAGCGUAGGUGGAUUGUUAAGUCAGUUGUGAAAGUUUGCGGCUCAACCGUAAAAUUGCAGUUGAAACUGGCAGUCUUGAGUACAGUAGAGGUGGGCGGAAUUCGUGGUGUAGCGGUGAAAUGCUUAGAUAUCACGAAGAACUCCGAUUGUGAAGGCAGUUCACUGGACUGCAACUGACACUGAGGCUCGAAAGUGUGGGUAUCAAACAGGAUUAGAUACCCCAGUAGUC
rnacentral:rRNA from 1 species